UCCCGCGGCGGCGGCGGCGGCGGCCGCACUGAGCUCCCUGUGGCAGCCCGAGGGUCACGUGCGCCGCCGUGCUCCCGGCGCGGGGCGUCGUUAGCGGGGCCGGGGGCGGCGGGAGGAGGGGCCCGCGCUAGCGAGGGCAGCGCUCCAGCCGGGGGCGCGGGCGGCGGGGCUGCCGCAUCGCCGGGGCGGGGGCGGGCGCGGGCGCGAGCAGCUCCGCUCCGCUCCGCGGCGGGCCGCAGCGGCAGCGGGCCAUGGCCUGGCCCUGCAUCAGCCGGGUGUGCUGCCUGGCCCGCUUCUGGAACCAGCUGGACAAGUCCGACCUCUCCGUGCCGCUCACCAUCCACAACUACUCGGAUAUCGAGGAGCCGGAGGACGCGGGCGGCCCCCCGCGCGGCACAACAGGUGGGAGCCACCCGCGGGGCGGCAGCCAGCUGCCCGCGGCGGCCUGCCCCGCGCCCGAGACGCUGGCCGUCAAGAGGUCGGGCAAAGGCGGCGGCCACAGGAAGGGCCCGGCCGGCGCGGCCGCCGGGGAGCCCUUCGCGGCGGAGACCCAGUACCGGCAGGAUUUCAGAGCCUGGCCCGUUCAGAAGAGAGACGCUUUCCCGUGGAUCGGCGCGGGCGGCGACUGCAGGAGGAACGGGGCCCCCCCCGCCGCCGCCCAGCCCGCCCCGGGCGGCUCCGUGUACGUCCUGCCGGCCGGCGAGCGAGAGGAGAGGCCGGCGGCCAGCAGGUACACCGGCUUCCAGCAGCUCUGGCCGCGCUCGCCGGCGGACGGCGGCCACACCACCUCGUACAGGCAAGAGUAUCGCCCAUGGACUGGAGCAAAACCAUCCAAACCUAUAAAGACAAAGCAAGGCUUCAUUAUCCCAGAAGAACAUUUUGUUCAAGAGACAAGCUACAAGGCAGAUUUUAAGGUAAUGUGGCCAUCCCUUGCUUUCAGAGAGACAUGCUAGAGAAUGUUUUAUCGUAACUUAACAUAAUUCAACCCCGAGACCAAGAUUUUAAACUGCAUGAAAGUCGGGCAGUUCAAGAUUUGCGAUUCUCACAAUUGGAUACCUUAUGUACAAGAUUCCAGAAGCGAAGACCAAGUUCUCUCCCAAUCCUUCUGCUGUUUUCCAGGCACCGUCGCGGAUCCUCAACGUGUGAACCUGGACCCUGUUCACAUCCAGGCAGCUUCAACGUGGGCUGUUUGUUAAGAUGUAUCACUAUGCAAUUUUCAUGAGGAGUGUUAAGAUCAAAGAACCAAUAUUAUCAAAAGCAGCUCCAGUGAUUAAUGAUAUGUACACACACUUUCUGUUAACACACAAAUCACAAAGCUCUUGAUUCAGAACUGGCAAAAUACACUGCAAGGAAUGACCUAGAUUUUCAUAGAAACAGGUUCAUUACUAUGCCAGCUGGCAUCACAUUAGGAGAUUGACUUUGGGCAGCAAAGACCGUAUUGCAGGCAACAUCCCUAUGCUAAACUACACAGGGUGGGAGCGAAGAUGCUCACAAACAGGAUAGAUAAUUAAAACCAAAAAGAGUCUUAUUUAACAGUACCCUCUAAAGUAGGCCAGUGAAAGACAGGAAGUGUCUGGCUGACUUCUGAGCUUCUUGGGGUUUUUUUUGAGAUAGAAAAGCUGGAAAGCUGAAUAUUUCCAAAACUGGAGAGUUGACAGAGAAGCAAGAGGGGACUGAACUUCUGAAGACAGCCCUGACAACAAUGCACCAACUUGGUUCAGAGAUGAUAGGUAGAGUCAGAGAUGAUGGAUGGAGUCAGCUAGACACCUACCAGACUCCUCAGGAGCAGAUCUAAAGCAUUUAUGUAAUUUGUAUAGUUGUGCUUAGGGUGAGUGUAAAUACUGUACAUGGAUUUUAGCUAAAGCAACUUAUGAUCCUUUAAUGAAAAGGAUAUGCUUAUACUUUUAAUAAAUGUUAACUCUUUGCAUAUGCAAGGUGGAGAAUACAUUGCCUUGAAAUUCCUAAAUUAUUGCCUGUAUAAUGGUAAUGCUAAUGCUAAGAAAAACCAGAAGUGAAUGUUACUUAGAAACUUUAAAAAAGUAGAAUGUAAGACAUCCUUCAUUUCUAAGAUAGGUCAUUUGAAAUGUCAUUAUUCUAAAGCUGAUUUUUUUUUUAGAUUGGUGUGAAUUUAACUUUUGCUGAAGUACCUGUGUUUUAAGAAACCAUUUUUUAGCCUUUGUUCAUCCUGUAGUAGGUUUCGAGUUUCUAUCUCAAGGACUUAUGCAAUAUUAUUAGUCUACCGCUUAUUUAAUGCUUUUCCUAAUUAUUUUGGGGAAAAAAAAGGAAAUAGAAAAACUUUUAUUUUGUGUGUUUGAAAUGUGUCUGCUAGAAUGAAAGAAAACUAUCCUCAAACUUGAAUAGUGAUCAGAUAUUCAUUCACCGGUAAUGAAAUGUACUUCAACACAGCAGGAUUUUUUCCUUAACCUUCUUCUAGCUCAAGUCAAAGGCAAAUUUAGUGAACUUUUGGGACUCUGCAAACACAUAUCCAUCGCUGGUAAUUUCCAUAAGAAUGAUUUUUGAACUGCUGGCAUGUAGAUUAUACUUGAAACUCAUGCAGUGAGCAUCUUCUCACUGCAUUAUGUGAGGAUUUAAAUGGUGACACCUCUGUUAGUUAUUCAAAUGGGACCUAAGAACUUAGUCUAAGCACAAGUACAGGUAACAUUCUCAGUAAGUUGGGGGGUUUUGAGGACAAGGGACAGAAUUUCUCACACUUGUCCUUUCAUUUGGACCCAGAGGAACAUACAGUAAUACCAGUACUUGCCAAAAUCAUUUUCUGGGGAGACUCAUUUUUCAGGAAAUUCAUUUGAAACAUUCAAACUGCACUAAAGGUUUUGCAUGUUAGAUGUUUCUAAGAAAGAAUUGAAUUUGCUCGAUUAAUCUCUUUAUAAUGUUUUUAACAGUUUUGUUCAAACCAUUUCAGUUCAUUUCAAUCCUGGACUUUAUUAACAGCAGAAAAACACAUAUUGCCUAUUCAGUCUGUCUUCUUAAUUCACUGUAUUUCUAAAAAAGAAAAAAAAAAACCCAGUUGUGAACAAACUGGUGAUAUAAGCUUGUAUUUUACCAAAUGGACUGGAAGUUAAUUUAAUAAAUUAAAAUGUAUUUUG